CCUACGGGUGGCUGCAGUGGGGAAUAUUGGGCAAUGGGCGCAAGCCUGACCCAGCAACGCCGCGUGAAGGAAGAAGGCUCUCGGGUUGUAAACUUCUUUUAUCAGGGACGAAGCAAGUGACGGUACCUGAUGAAUAAGCCACGGCUAACUACGUGCCAGCAGCCGCGGUAAUACGUAGGUGGCAAGCGUUAUCCGGAUUUACUGGGUGUAAAGGGCGUGUAGGCGGGAAAGCAAGUCAGAUGUGAAAACCAUGGGCUCAACCUGUGGCCUGCAUUUGAAACUGUUUUUCUUGAGUACUGGAGAGGCAGACGGAAUUCCUAGUGUAGCGGUGAAAUGCGUAGAUAUUAGGAGGAACACCAGUGGCGAAGGCGGUCUGCUGGUCUGUAACUGACGCUGAGGUUCGAAAGCGUGGGUAGCAAACAGGAUUAGAUACCCUAGUAGUC
rnacentral:rRNA from 1 species